AUACGGAGGGUGCAAGCGUUACUCGGAAUCACCGGGCGUAAAGCGCGCGCAGGCGGCUUGAUAAGUUGGAUGUGAAAGCCUACGGCUCAACCGUAGAACUGCAUCCAAAACUGUCAGGCUCGAGUCUGGGAGGGGAAGAUGGAAUUAGUUGUGUAGGGGUAAAAUCCGUAGAGAUAACUAGGAAUACCAAAAGCGAAGGCGAUCUUCUGGAACAGUACUGACGCUGAGGCGCGAAAGCGUGGGGAGCAAACAGGAUUAGAUACCCUAGUAGUCC
rnacentral:rRNA from 1 species